rnacentral:lncRNA from 13 species
AUGACAUCAUGUCACCAAACAGCUGUGCAAUCAUGGCAGGCAGCAGUGGGUGUGGCUUCUGGAGUGGGUGUGUUCCUGAUGGGAUUGACAGCUAUCUGUCUCUGCUGGAGGACCAAGAAACAUUCUCAGAGACCUACAUCCAGACAGGAUGAUCACAGCCAAUGUGAUUUGGUGAUGGGAGCUAUGAGCAGUGCAGGCAUGUUGGAUUCAAAGGAUGCUGGGAUCUAUUCUCUCGUCACCUCUGUACCGUCCACGUUUUUGCCCUCAGGCCCUGUUGAAGAGAAUGGACAGUCAUCUGAAAAAGACAAUGUAAGUUCAGAAUCACUCACUGUGUUUGGUGAUUGUGAACGACUCAGUUUCAGAUUGAUGUUACAUCCACUUAGUAUACACGGUUACAUUUACAGUACUGCAUAUUCAAGGGGCUGA